rnacentral:rRNA from 1 species
GAUGAACGCUGGCGGCGUGCUUAACACAUGCAAGUCGAACGAAGCAUUUAAGACAGAUUACUUCGGUUUGAAGUCUUUUAUGACUGAGUGGCGGACGGGUGAGUAACGCGUGGGUAACCUGCCUCAUACAGGGGGAUAGCAGCUGGAAACGGCUGGUAAUACCGCAUAAGCGCACAGUACCACAUGGUACAGUGUGAAAAACUCCGGUGGUAUGAGAUGGACCCGCGUCUGAUUAGCUAGUUGGCGGGGUAACGGCCCACCAAGGCGACGAUCAGUAGCCGACCUGAGAGGGUGACCGGCCACAUUGGGACUGAGACACGGCCCAGACUCCUACGGGAGGCAGCAGUGGGGAAUAUUGCACAAUGGAGGAAACUCUGAUGCAGCGACGCUGCGUGAGUGAAGAAGUAGUUCGCUAUGUAAAGCUCUAUCAGCAGGGAAGAUAGUGACGGUACCUGACUAAGAAGCUCCGGCUAAAUACGUG